UCGCGUUAGCGCAAGCAUAACUGCAUUGUCUGUUGAGGUCCCAUCAAAUGCACUUGCUGAAAUAUCUGGCAAAUAUUGUGGGAACAGAAACACAUGCUAACAAACGUUGUGGAGAAUGGAAAGACAAAUACUUGCCAAUUAAUGAUAAAAGAAAUGCCUAAUUUGAAGAAUGAAUUACACUUAUUUUCAUAAUCAAGAAGCAGUGAGACCUUGUUUUAUGUACAUUCAAUUAUUCUAUUUUGUAUUUAUUAGGAUGUGUCAAGAUGAACUCAAACAAUGGAACAUUUUAUAUAAUUUCUGUACUUGUUGGAUGGGCUGAAGCAUUCAUAAUGUGUCUCCAUAUCUUGUUAUACCAAGCUUAGGACUGAUGUCAUCAUUAAGUCUUAGAUUCAAGCAAGUUCAAGUCGUAUUUACCUCUUCAUAUUUGAGUGAAAAGACAUCAAGAUCACAUUACAAACAUUGUUCUUUUUUAAUAAAAAUAAUUGUCAUAAAUUGUCUUACAAAUGCA